AAACCACAUACUACCUUCUUAGUUUUGCAAUAAGCCCUCAAUAUAAAAUCACCCGAAAAUAUAACGUGAUUCUUGAAUUUUUAAACUUUGGCUCAAAGGUCAGAAAAAGUGUAGUGAAUGUUGCCUUACAAAAAUCAUUAUAUUUCAGGAAGCAGUUUGGUGGUCUUUCACAAAGUUAAACAUAAAAUUGUCAUAUGAUCCAACAAUUCCACUUCUAGGUAUAUGCACAAAGAAGAUGAAAGCAGGGAUUUAAACAGAUACUUACACACUCAUCGUAACACUAUUCACAGAAGCCAAAAGAUGGAAAGAACCCAAAUGUUCACCAAUAGAUGAAUGGAUUUUUAAAAACGUAUGUAUGUCCGCGCAUGCGCCGUGAGGCCUGUCUGAGUGACCUUCAGCGCGGUUGGGUCCAAGUUUGAAAUAUGGCAACUUUGAAAGAUAUUACCAGGCAACUGAAGUCCAUCAAGAACAUCCAGAAAAUUACCAAGUCUAUGAAAAUGGUAGCAGCAGCAAAAUAUGCCCGAGUUGAGAGGGAUCUGAAACCAGCUCGAGUGUACGGAACAGGAUCUUUGGCUCUUUACGAAAAAGCUGAUAUUAAGGUGCCUGAAGACAAGAAGAAGCACCUCAUCAUUGGUGUGUCCUCAGAUAGAGGGCUUUGUGGUGCCAUCCAUUCCUCAGUUGCCAAGCAGAUGAAAACUGAGGUGGCUUCGCUCACAGCAACCGGGAAAGAAGUUAUUAUGAUUGUUGGAAUUGGUGAAAAAAUCAGGGGCAUACUUUAUAGGACUCAUUCUGACCAGUUUCUGGUGGCGUUCAAAGAAGUGGGCAGAAAGCCCCCUACUUUUGGAGAUGCGUCAGUCGUUGCCCUUGAGUUACUAAAUUCUGGAUAUGAGUUUGAUGAAGGCUCUAUCAUCUUUAAUCGUUUCAGAUCUGUCAUCUCCUAUAAGACAGAAGAAAAACCCAUCUUCUCUCUUAAUACCAUUGCAAGUGCUGAGACUAUGAGUAUCGCUGGAUUCGAGCUAUCUACGAAUGAUAUGAUUCUGCAUGUGCUGCAAAAUUACCAGAAUCACAAUCGGGCUAACAUCAUCUACCUUACUCUUUGAAGGAGUCCCUACCACUCAGUGAUGCAGAGUGCCUAGGAAUGACAGCCAUGGAAAUCCACCAGCAAGAACGGCUCCCUGAUAUGAUUGUACAGUUGACUUUUGGACCAUUCACCGGCAACCCGCUCCAACUGUCAUCACGAAAGAUUGAUUGA